AACGAACGCUGGCGGCAGGCUUAACACAUGCAAGUCGACAGCCCCGCAAAGGGAGCGGCAGACGGGUGAGUAACGCGUGGGAAUCUACCCAUCUCUACGGAAUAACGCAUGGAAACGGGUGCUAAUACCGUAUACGUCCUUCGGGAGAAAGAUUUAUCGGCGAUGGAUGAGCCCGCGUUUGAUUAGCUAGUUGGUGGGGUAAAGGCCUACCAAUGCGACGAUCCAUAGCUGGUCGGAGAGGAUGAUCAGCCACACUGGGAAUGAGACACGGCCCAGACUCAUAAGUGUGGUAGCAGUGGGGAAGAUUGGACAAUAGGCGCAAGGCUGAUCCAGCCAUGCAGCGUGAGUGAUGAAGGCCAUAGCGUUGUAAAGCUCCUUCACCGGUGAAGAUAAUGACGAUAGCCGGAGAAGAAGCCACGGCUAACUUCGUGCCAGCCGCCGCAGUAAUAC
rnacentral:rRNA from 1 species